UAAUUGAAGAGUUUGAUCAUGGCUCAGAUUGAACGCUGGCGGCAGGCCUAACACAUGCAAGUCGAGCGGCAGCGCAAGGGAGUUUACUCCUGAGGCGGCGAGCGGCGGACGGGUGAGUAAUGCCUAGGGAUCUGCCCAGUCGAGGGGGAUAACAGUUGGAAACGACUGCUAAUACCGCAUACGCCCUACGGGGGAAAGGAGGGGA
rnacentral:rRNA from 1 species